rnacentral:rRNA from 1 species
UCGGGAAUCUUGGGCAAUGGGCGAAAGCCUGACCCAGCAACGCCGCGUGAGGGAUGAAGGCCUUCGGGUCGUAAACCUCUGUCGGGAGGGAAGAAUGGUUCUGGUUCAAAUAGGGCUAGAGCCUGACGGUACCUCCAAAGGAAGCGCCGGCUAACUCCGUGCCAGCAGCCGCGGUAAUACGGAGGGCGCAAGCGUUGUUCGGAAUCAUUGGGCGUAAAGCGCGUGUAGGCGGUCGGAUAAGUCGGGUGUGAAAGCCCGGGGCUCAACCCCGGAAUUGCACUCGAUACUGUUCGACUAGAGUCCCGGAGGGGAAGGCGGAAUUCCCGGUGUAGAGGUGAAAUUCGUAGAUAUCGGGAGGAACACCAGUGGCGAAGGCGGCCUUCUGGACGGUGACUGACGCUGAGACGCGAAAGCGUGGGGAGCAAACAGGAUUAGAUACCCGCGUAGUCC